GACGAACGCUGGCGGCGUGCUUAACACAUGCAAGUCGAACGAAGAGCGAUGGAAGCUUGCUUCUAUCAAUCUUAGUGGCGAACGGGUGAGUAACGCGUAAUCAACCUGCCCUUCAGAGGGGGACAACAGUUGGAAACGACUGCUAAUACCGCAUACGAUCUAAUCUCGGCAUCGAGGAAAGAUGAAAGGUGGCCUCUAUUUAUAAGCUAUCACUGAAGGAGGGGAUUGCGUCUGAUUAGCUAGUUGGAGGGGUAACGGCCCACCAAGGCGAUGAUCAGUAGCCGGUCUGAGAGGAUGAACGGCCACAUUGGGACUGAGACACGGCCCAGACUCCUACGGGAGGCAGCAGUGGGGAAUCUUCCGCAAUGGACGAAAGUCUGACGGAGCAACGCCGCGUGAGUGAUGACGGCCUUCGGGUUGUAAAGCUCUGUUAAUCGGGACGAAAGGCCUUCCUGCGAACAGUUAGAAGGAUUGACGGUACCGGAAUAGAAAGCCACGGCUAACUACGUG
rnacentral:rRNA from 1 species